rnacentral:piRNA from 1 species
UAAAGUCCAAUGCCUUGUAGUUG